UGAGCUGGUGAACCCUGAAUGGACUCAGGAUGUGAAACACACAGUACUGGCCCCAGAUAGCUGAGGAAUGUUGCCCUUGCCGCACAAGUGCAUUCCAUCCCUUGCCUUGGAAUGGGACCCCUCUUUCAGCAAAGAGUGAUCCCACAGAGAUGCUGGCCCCACCAGUACCAAGAGGAUACCACUUCACCACCAGCCUCAGAACUCACAGAUAUUUUUGAAUUUGCAUCGCUAAGAGAUAGAAUCGGAUGGAACAAGCUUAGGCCAAAUGAGACAAGAACUGAGGAAGAAGAACCAACCUGACAUCUUGAAGAAGAACUGAUCUGACAUUUUGUUGCUGUGACUUGAGCCGCCUACUUCUCAUCAGCAAAGAUAACCCCCUUCCGCCCCUGACAACUCAUAAGCUGCACCCCUUCUGACACCCACUUCCAUGUGCAAAAUUCAAGUCUGUUUCAAGGUGGAUUGCUGAAGCCCUGAAAAUGAGACUGCCAAAAGACUUCAACAAGAGACAGAAUUGAUUAUUACUUGCAGAGCUCAUAUAUUCAGGAAAAGCAUGAUGAGUAACUCAAAGGGGUGGUUAGAAGUUGGGCUUAUAGCAUCUCAACAAAAAUAAACAAAUUAAAUUUGUAGAGAAGCAAAAAGACAAAGACAAAGUGUUUCAAGCUUCCAGGAAUGGCAAAUUGUACGAAGUAAA
ensembl:lncRNA